AACGCACCUUGCGCUCCGUGGUAUUCCGCGGAGCAUGCCUGUUUGAGUGUCGCCCCCUCACCUCAACCUUGCCUGCUUGUUCAUGAGCGGUCAAGGCUUGGAUCGUGGCCGCCUCCGCUCGAGACUCGAGCGGACGGCCCAAAGACGGGAAGCGCAUGCCCCUUGGCGGCGGAAACGCAUCGACCGACGAUUGUACGCACCUUGUCGUCGGACCCGAGAAGCCUUGCUUGGACGGACGCGCUGCGAACGACGCAUGCACACACUCAACGACCUCAGAUCAGGCAGGACGACCCGCUGAACUUAA
rnacentral:misc_RNA from 1 species